rnacentral:lncRNA from 1 species
CGGCUGGCUAGGGCUGCGCGGCGCCGCCUGCGGCUCCCGGCUCCCGCUCUCCCGGCCGCCGAGCCCGAGCUGCCGUGGGCGGGGCCUGUGGUGAUUGGCGGGCAGGCGGGGAGGUCGGAAGUACUUUGUUUUUUAUGCUAAUGAGGGAGUGGGGCUUGUCCGUAUUUACGUUGAGGCGGGAGCCGCCGCCCUUCAUUCACCCACAUGGUCUUUCGAGGUGCCGCUGCUGCCGCCCGGCCCGCGCCUUCGCGCCACUUCGCGCCCUCCGGCGAGGCCGAGGGGGUGGGGACGGCCACCGCCGCGCCGCCACGGCUCGCGCCCCUUCGCGAAGCCCCCUCCACGGGGCGGACCGGCGGACUGGCCCUCCUCACCCCCCGGCCUGGGGCCUUCGGUCGUAGAAAAGCGGAGGUGGGUGGGGAGGCGGGAGCGAGAGCCCGCGACGGGCCAGGCGAAGAUGGUGGCGGCUACUCCUCCCGUCAUACACGUGGACCUAGCAGCACCAAAAGCUUUCCUGAGGAUACUUGUCUGAGAAGUUUUCCUAAAUGGUGGGUAAGUAUAUUUUAGUUUUUUUAAGUUAAUUUCUCUUCUGUAUUUUAGUUUUUUAAGUUAAUUUUUCGUCUAAACACAAUUUUGCUGGGGUUUUAAGCAUGACAUAGGUGUUUGUCAAGUUUAUCUUUCCUAGAAAAAUAAUUCAUUUUGUAUGGGUCAGCUAGCUUUAUUAAGGUACUAAAGUACAGUGCAAGUAUUUAUGGAGACGAUAAGAAAUACUUUUAGCUCUUUUUAAGUUGGGUGAUUAAACUAGAUCUAAUUUUGGGGUGGUAAAUUUAAGAUUGUAAGCAGUAUAUUGAAUUUGCAUAACUAAAACUUGAAAUGUAGUUCAAACAGUAACUUUGUUAAUCAUCUGCUCAAGAAUUUGCUAAUGAGACGUCAGAAGAAAAGAAAAUGCUUUGCCACGUGGAUGUGAAGAUUAUCUCCAAAAGGUACUCAGGAGUCAAAUUGCCCUGUUAAUACUAUUUCCAUUUAUGUGCAGUGGUUUUGAUUUUCUCAUGGUAUGUAUGUGAAAGACCAAGUACAAAGAAGAGCCACCAAUCUCUCGGUGUUACAGUAGUGACUGUUAUGCCUUCUAUAAAGAAUCACCUAUUUUUUUAAGGUUUAAAUAUCUAAAUGGAACCUGUAGAAACUUAAUUUUCUCUUCUUUGUUAGAGGUUAUGCAGAAAUUCAUGUGUUUCACAGCUCUAGAGUUUCAGGUGGUACUCUUAUCUAAUUAUUUAUUUCAAAUUUAGCAGGAGUAAAAACAUCACCUUGUAAAACUGAAGAUUGUGACCAGUCAGAAUAAUGUCAAAGUGCUUACAGUGCAGGUAGUGAUAUGUGCAUCUACUGCAGUGAAGGCACUUGUAGCAUUAUGGUGACAGCUGCCUCGGGGAGCCAAGCUGGGCUUUAAACCUCAGGGCCUGCUGAUGUUGAGUGCUUUUUGUUCUAAGGUGCAUCUAGUGCAGAUAGUGAAGUAGAUUAGCAUCUACUGCCCUAAGUGCUCCUUCUGGCAUAAGAAGUUAUGUUUUCAUCCAAUAAUUCAAGCAAGUAUGUAGGGGUUUUCAUAGUUUUUGUUUGCAGUUCUCUGUUAGUUUUGCAUAGUUGCACUACAAGAAGAAUGUAGUUGUGCAAAUCUAUGCAAAACUGAUGGUGUCCUGCUAUUUCCUUCAAGUGAUUUUUACUAAUUUUUGUGUACUUUUGUGUCGAUGUAGAAUCUGCCUGGUGUAGCUGAUUUGACAGCUUCUGUAGCACUAAAGUGCUUAUAGUGCAGGUAGUGUUUCAUUAUCUACUGCAUUAUGAGCACUUAAAGUACUGCUAGCUGUGGAACUCCACCUUCGGCCUGUCUCCCAGUCAAACUGUCCUGUUAACUGAACACUGUUCUAUGGUUAGUUUUGCAGGUUUGCAUCCAGCUGUGUGAUACUCUGCUGUGCAAAUCCAUGCAAAACUGACUGUGGUGGUGAAAAGUCUGUAGAAAAGUAAGGGAAAAUCAAACCCCUUUCUACACAGGUUGGGAUCGGUUGCAAUGCUGUGUUUCUGUAUGGUAUUGCACUUGUCCCGGCCUGUUGAGUUUGGUGGGGAUUGUGACCAGAAGAUUUGGAAAUUAAUAUUGAAGAUUCCAAUAUGCUGUAAAAUACUCAAGAGAUACAAAACAGAAAAAUGUUCUGUAACUUCUAUUAGUUUUGUCAGUGUAAAGCAUCUUUUUAUUUCUUGAAAUUAAAUGUUAUCUUUUGUCCUGAAAAACUUCAAUUUGGUUGAAUGUCAGAUUUAGUUGUAAAUUGACUAUCAAGUGUUCUAAUAUGAUUGUGGUGUGGCAGAAAAAUUUGCUGUGAAUACAUGGCUGUCUGUAAAGUUAAGAGUUUUUGUUCACUUUGGACAUAAUGUUCAGGAAGUUUUACUUAAGCAUAUGGGUUUUAAAAAAAAAACAAACAGUCAUUUGAGGAUGAGGUUUUUCCCAGAAAAUAGCUAGUUUUUUCCUGAGACAUGAGUUCUUGGUGUUUAACAGUUAAGUGGUUGUACACUAGUUUUUCUUUGUAUAUUAUCUUGUAAGGGACUGAUACAGGAUUCCCCAGACUAACCUUACCAUCUGAAACCCAAAAAAGGAAUUAAAAAGAAAAAAGGCAAGUUGGUGCAUAUAUAUGCAUACUGCCCUAAUGCUAGCCAUAUAACAAUGGGGCUAAAAUAUGAAAUCAUUUCUCCCAAGAAUAUAGUUAAUAUUUAGGUUCCCUCCUUAUAAGCUUGACUUGCAAAAAUGAGGAUUGAUUCCAGGCUGGUGUGAACCGUUUUAUCUGACUUUUCUGCCUUUUGCUUUUGUUUCAUGUGUUUUAUCUCUAGUCUGUUACUUACAAAUAAAUAAAUGCAUGGGUUAGCUUGACA